rnacentral:tRNA from 1 species
AGGGUUAUAGUUCUGUUAGGUAGAGCGCCUGGUUUACACUUUAGCAGCACCUUAGGAUGGGAAAAGGGAAGGGGGA